UUCCUGACUAAUAAAAAGAGAUAGAUUUUUGAAGAGUUCUUAAAAAAGUGCAACUUGAAAAGAACAAAUAUUGAUCGUACGAACGACAAACAUUACUGUAAAAAAUCAAAUUAGUGCGAUAGACAGUGUGGACAGUAGUGAUUCUGGGUGUGUUCCAUGUCAUUAAGGUUAUGUCACACGUUAUGGACUGACAAUAUCGUUCUUGAUUUCGGGCGUUUUAGAACACGAGAACGUGCUCAGUAGGAAAUUUAUAAUAUGAUACGACCUUUCUUUGAAGAAGAUGCCUGGUGCUACUGGGUUGUUUCAGUUGGUGCUCUGCUAUCAUUUCUCGGUCUUGUUGCUACUUGUAUCUGCAGUUGUCGACGAAAUGAGAAUAAGAAUGAAUUUCUGGACCUCGCUGGUACAGUAACACUGAAUAAUUCUGAAACAGACAAUUUCGACAGAAUUCUGACAUUGGAUGUAUGCCAGGUUGUUGAGCAGGAUAUCAACGAUGGAAAAAGGACUACAAGUGCCAACAGAAGUCUUCCAGAUAUUCCAAAAGAUAAGAGCAGAGAACAUGAGAACAUGGUAGAUUCAGAGCCUCAAGAUAUUUAUGAUACUACCGAAAUUAUGGGGGACCAUUCAGAAUUAUAUGCUACAGUCCAAGAUGCAGCUCAAGAACAAAUGUUUGAAAGGGAAACGCAAGAAGUUAUCUUGCAAGGAUGUACCUUGCCACAAGAUACGUCUCAUCAAUAUACAAGAUUUGCAUCUCCUGUUUCUGACAAUCUUGAACAUCCUUACGCCCAACUUCAAAAUGUUCAGAAGACUGAGGCUAGUCAAAUAAAUAGAAAUAAUGUUAAUCAAAUUACGAAUACUGAAAAACCAUCAACAUCAAUGGAUCAGUCAAAUGAAAAUCCAAUCGCGCCACCGAGAACUCGACGAUCUUCAUCCCACAAUUCACUUCUUAAUUCUGAGUUACAUUACGAUAUCCAGGCUGCUAACGCUAUUUCUGGUAGUGUUCAAGCUAAUCAAGAUUUACCCUACAUGACACCGCCUCUCUUAAUGCUGCUGCCACAAUCACUGCAUCCCCAACAUAAUAAUCUGCAACAACACUUCAGUGGAGACUCGCAAGAUUCGAAAGGAUAUACAAGCAUAAGCGUGAGGGAACCAUUAGCCAAUAUAAUAGCACAAAGUAAAACAACUUACAGACAAAAUCAAUCUACUCGACCAAUCACUGAUCCCCAUUAUGCUACUGUUUCUGAUGAUUCUGAUGAAAUGUAUGCUGCAAUUGACGAACAGGAUAAAAUAUAUACUAGUGGCAGCGAAACAUAUGCACAAAUUCAGCCAAUGACAUCAGAAGUGCAAGUUCAACAUGAACAAAUAGUAUUUUGUCAGCCUCUGCGCACAGAAGAAACACAUUCUGCACCUCAACCACCGAGUGUCGAUAGUUUACGCCAUGUUGCACACGCCCAUUCUAGGCAAGCCUCAUCGUCAAGUGCCAAUAGCUCCAUUAUCAAUCUCGGAUCUCCUAAACCUGAAAAACGUCAAGCAAAUUCUCCUUUACCACCGCCACCCGAAGCAACCGCAGAGGCGUACGCAUCUAUUGAUAAAAAAAAUAAAAAUGACGAUAAAUCGAAGUCUUCAUUGUCAGCGGGUAAAUCACUCGAGGAUAUGUACGCGAAGGUGAUGAAGAAGAAAAAGGAGAUAGAGGAGCAACAAAAUGAUGCUCAUCCAAGCUUUAACAAUGUUUUACAUUCUGAAACAAAUGCUUGUAGAAAAUUAAGUCUUAUAGAAAUCAGCCGAGCGUCAUGGUGCAGCCACGAAUCUGUGGAAAUACAGAAAAAGGAAUCCGAUUUUGUUCACUGUUCCACCAAUAGCAGUUCUACUACAAGCAAUUUUUACGCAGAAAGUAACAAGGGCACUCCUUUAAAAGUACCUAAAGAUGAUGCGGAUGUGAUCUCGUUACAUUUAGAAUCUGAUCAUGAAUAUGAAGCCGUUAAUUCUAACAGUCAAAGAAACUCUGUUGCAAGAAUCGUUAUGAAUUCAUUUAAUUCAAACUAUGAUAUAUUACGUCAGCAGUCUUCGCAAGAAAAUGAAAAUAAUUCGAUAUCUAUGAAAAAUAAUACGGAUAUAUAUUCGACACCGUUUAAGCGCAGACAAGUAAGUAACGCUAGCAGCGACGAUCCCGGUUAUGAGAAGGUGCGAUUGCAACAGCGAGAUCACGAAAUAGAUUCGGAGCCAAAUUACGAAAGCAUGCCACAUGAUACGAACGAGCCGAACUAUGCAUCCGUUUGUCGGCCUGGUGACAGUGAUACGGACCCAAAUUACGAGUCUGUGAACCACACCGAUCCGAAUUAUGAAAGUGUGAAAUACAUGAGUGUCGGGCAGAGUGAAGAACCACCGUAUGAGCAAGUGAAUAAUUUGUUGUUAGAUGCAAAUGCGGACGGUUAUGAGAAAGUAAAAAAUAAGAAGAAAGCGGACAGCAAUUACGAAAAAAUAAUACUACAUAAUUCUUUAGAAAGAAUUAGCAACGGAGGGGAUACUGACGACGAACAAUUCGUUCAAGUGUAAUGUUCUUAUUUUGCGUUACUAUGAGUCCUAAUGAUCGAACUGUGUGUUCAGUGUUCUUUGUAAUCUCAAGCUCAUUCAAAAUUGAGUGAACAAGAUUUGACUUUAUAUUUUGCAACAAGCGAUUUACAAACAAUGUAUCAAAUGGCAUUGCUAUAAUAAUGAGAAUAAGACUGAUGAAGACAGACAGUAAAAGAUAAUAUAUAUAAGAGUAUUCGAAAAGUUACCAAUAAACGAGUCAAAAUGUGUAAUUAAUUCUAUACUCUGUUCAACGAGAGAAUGACUUCGGUCUACGCAUAGGAGGUAUAACGGGCAAAGUAGGAAUAUAGCCAUUAUCGUAUAUGUACAUAUGGUACUUCCGGACUCGGGCUUAUAAAAUUGACCGGAUGAAAUAAUCAGAGUUGGGAAGCGUUACUUGUAACACUAUUACUUUUUUCGUUACUUUUCGGUAACGAUCGUUACUUUUUUCUGUCUUAU